GCUGGGUCCUGCACCCAGCUGGCUGCUAGGGAUAGUGAGGGGCACGAGGCACUCUCUGCCCUUGCAGAGCUCACUGGAGGAAUAAACCUUUGUAGAGGAAGGUUUGAUGGGCUUUCCUGGAAGAAGUACUCAUAGGAAAACCCAAAAGCUCAACAGAUGCUGUCUCCUUGGUUAACAUUAGGAGCUAUGAUCUCCAUCUUCCCAUGGCAUUAGAGGUUUAGAUACUGAGGAUCAGAGAGGCAAGUUCAGCAUCAGAAGGCAGGAAGAGGCAGAAAUCUGGACACCGAUUCCUAACUCUAAAGCUGCGUCAUCUCUAGUGCAUCUCAUCAGCUCUUCCCAAUGGCACCAAUCAACUUUAGCAUACUGGCCAGCCGGAAUAGAUGUCCUUGGGCAUUCUUAAGAUCUGAGACUGUGAUGGUUAAUUUUAGGGUAUCAGCUUGACUGGGUUGAGGAAUGCCUCAGUGGCUGGUGGCGUCCAUCAUUCCUGGGUGUGUCUGUGAGAGUGUUUCCAGAGGAGACUCACAUGUGAGCCAGCGGGCUGAGAAGGAGACCCGUUCUCAGUGUGAGUGUGCACUGUCCAAUCAGCUCAAGGCCAGGCUGGGGACAAACAGGCAGAAGAAGGAGGAUUCUCUCUCCCACCUUUCUGGAGCAGGAUGCCUUUUCUCCUUGGACAUCAGACUACAGGGUCUUUGGCUUUUGGAUUCUAGGACUUGUACCAAUGGCCUCCCGGGGCCCUCAGGCCUUCAGCCUCCAACGAAGGUCUGUGCUGUUGGCCUCCCUGAUUCUGAGGCUUCUGGACUUGGACUGAGGCAUGCUACGGGCUUCUCUGAUUCUCCAGCUUGUGGAUGGCCUAUCAUGGGACUUCUCCACCUCUGUAAUCACAAGGGCCAAUGCCCCCUAAUACCUUUCUUUUCAUAUAUCCUACUGGUUCUGUCUGCCUGGGGAACCUUGACUAAUACAGAUAUGGAGCAUUUGAAAUGAGAGGAUUUCUGAUCCUGUUCUUCAAGAAGCAGUAGGUCAGAGCAUACCUCUUUAAAAUAACUUCUGGAUAGUUUCACAGUUAGAAAGAAUCAGCUUCAGGUGAUCUUGAAGAUCCCACUUGGAUUCCACUCUCCAGCUCUCAGGAAGCUCUGGCUUCCUUACUUCUUCUGGGAUUUUCCUUUCAUGCUGGGGAGAGAUGCUCCCUCACCACUACCCAGCCCAUGGGACACACCGAGUCUGGUGGAGGAUGCUGUGACCUGUGGUGCUUGUGAUUGCGUCUUACUGUGUCGCCCAGACUGAAGUGCAGUGGUACAGUCUCAGCUCACUGCAACCUCGGCUUCCCAGGCUCAAGCAAUCCUCCUGCCUCAGUAUCCCAAGUAGCUGGGAAAACAGGUAAAAGGGAAGCAAAGGAAGAAAGAAGAAAAGAAGACAACCCAUGUAGGAUGUUAACCAGGAAGUCGAAGCUUGGAGAGAUUCUGUGAAUUGGUGAAGGACACAGAGCAAAGCCAGGAUUCAGAUUCAGACCUGCUUGACUCCAAGAUCAUUCCAGAAAUCUCCCUUUUCCUUUGGACCCUGUGACGUGACAGCUGGGUUCUUUCUGCUCUGAUUUCCAUGCCUGACAACCAUUUAAAUGGAAUACAAGAAUGCAGCAAUUUGAGAAGUAAAUGAGCCAUCACAAGCAGAGUUUCUUGCAAGGCUGGCUCCAGGCAAACCUGUUAAGUGGACGUUUCUGGUGGCACCUUCAGUUUUCUCCAGCCUCGUCACACCUGGUGGGCUCCUUCCACUCCUUCAUGCAGACACUGCUGUCCCCCUCCAUCAACACCUUCCUUCAGGGAAGGAGCUGGAUCUCAUCUUCACUGGGACAAUGGCUGGGUAACAGCUGAUAGCCUUGCUGCUUUCUGCUGAAUAUGUUUUUUUUUUCAAAAGACCAAAAAGAAAAAAAAAAAA
ensembl:lncRNA LINC02073 long intergenic non-protein coding RNA 2073